CAGAUCACUUGAGGUCAGGAGUUCAAGACCAGCCUGGCCAACAGUGAAACCCCAUCUCUACUGAAAAUGCAAAAGUUAGCCAGGCAUGGUGGUGGGCACCUGUAAUCCUAGCUACUCAGGAGGCUGAGGCGGGAGGAUUGCUUGAACCUAGGAGGUGGAGGUUGCAGUGAGCUGAGAUUGCACCACUGCACUCCAGCCUGGGCAACAGAGCAAGACUCUGUCUCAAAAAAGAAAAAAAAAAAGAUAAAGAAAAAAAAAUAGGUUCAUUUAAAGAAAAAUGUUAAGAAGAAAAGGACACAAGUGGCAUUUUUAGAUAGGACAAGAAUCAGGGAGGUAUUGGAAUGACUGAGGUUUGGAAAACACUGAACAAGAUGAUCACGAAGUUCCCCGCCUCCCAGGUCUGAGAACCUGAAUAUGGAUUAACCUAUAAUGCCAAGCCAACAGGUUUAAAAGGAGAGUUAACCAGUGUUAGAUGUUAAAGGCACCCUAACACCAAAUCCAGAUCUUUCUCUCACAUUUGUUCUGUGGAACUGACAAUACUCUAGCCACUCCUGGUCAGUUAGGUUUGCUUACUCUGUCCUCUUGAAGAUUCACAGUGUAUAUCACUAUUAGGGAUUAAAUACUUUAACAAUAAAGAAACUUAUUGUAUUCUCAUUUAACUCUGCAUUCUCAAAACAUAUUGCCUGCAAAACCUUUAUUUAGAAACAGCUAUUAACAUUCCAGGGAACUAGUUUUCUGCAGGACACACUUUAGGACACCAGUUUUCUUCAGGACACACUGGUCUAUAUAAUAAGCCUUUAUGUUCAUCUAGUUUACAUUUUGUAUCCAUUAUCUCAUUGACCUUGUAACAUGCAGCCAGAUGGGUGAUAAUGACAGUAGUUCCAUUACCCAAGCAUUUACCCUGUGCCUCCUGUUGUACCAAGCACUCUUUACAUCUGUGAUUUCAUUUAAUCAUCACAACAGCACUGCAAGGAAGGUCCUUAUCUCUGACAGCUGAGGAAGCAGGCUCAAAGAGGGGGAAAAGGGCUCAAAGACUUGCCGUAAGUCACACAGCUGGAAAACAGCCCAGCUGGGAUUUAAACUCAGGUUGAUCUGAUUCCAAAGCCUGUGCUCUUCACCCCCACAAGUUGAGUGGGGAAUUAGGGUCCCCAUUGUACACAGGAGGUGCCUUGCUUCUCCAGACACAGGCCGGGGCAUACUUGGCCAUCCUGCUCUAUCUUGUCAUCCCUUCCCAUCCAGGUACCCACAGUCACCCCCAUUCCUCUCAGCCUCUGAACUAUUCCUUGGUGUCCCCUUCCAGUGUAUGAACCCAGAGUUCUGAGACCUUUGCCACUUCAGACUUCAUCAUUGGCCACACGUGGUGGUGCACAGCUGUAGUCCUAGCUACUUGGGAGGCUGAGGUGGGAGGAUAGCUUGAGCCCAGUUGGAGGUUGUAGUGAGUUAUGACUGCACCACUGCACUCCAGCCUGAGUGACAGAACGAGACCCUGUCUCAAAAUUUUUUU
rnacentral:lncRNA from 1 species